GUGGGGAAUAUUGGGCAAUGGGGGAAACCCUGACCCAGCAACGCCGCGUGAGGGAAGAAGGUUUUCGGAUUGUAAACCUCUGUCCUUGGUGACGAAGGAAGUGACGGUAACCAAGGAGGAAGCCCCGGCUAACUACGUGCCAGCAGCCGCGGUAAUACGUAGGGGGCAAGCGUUGUCCGGAAUGACUGGGCGUAAAGGGCGUGUAGGCGGUCGAUUAAGUCUGGAGUGAAAGUCCUGCUUUCAAGGUGGGAAUUGCUUUGGAGACUGGUUGGCUUGAGUGCGGAAGAGGUAAGUGGAAUUCCCAGUGUAGCGGUGAAAUGCGUAGAGAUUGGGAGGAACACCAGUGGCGAAGGCGACUUACUGGGCCGUAACUGACGCUGAGGCGCGAAAGCGUGGGGAGCGAACAGGAUUAGAUACCCGUGUAGUCC
rnacentral:rRNA from 1 species